CGACGGCCAUUGUUCCUCUGACAGGUGUAUCACCUCCGCUGGUCAGCGUUAUCAUGGGGUUCAUACAGUCUAAAGCAGUUGUCACAGACAUUAAUGGAUGGUGUUUAACGGUUUGAGGAUAUAUUUUCACUGUGUUACCGACCAGGCUUCCCCUUGAAGAUCUUACGGUUAACGUGAAUUUGACAUGCAUAGCAGUGUUAACUAUUUUGGGAAGCGGUCAGUGCAGUGACGUACGUGCUACUAAGGUUUCAGUAGUUCAAUAAAAAGCGUCUAGAUAAGCUUGCAGUGCAGUAUGCUGAGCAUAAGGAGACAAAUAUUAUGUUCACUGAGACAAGGCAGAAUAAAGUCCCUCUUAGAGCAAAGUUCUCCGUCUCCCUCUUCUCCUCACGGCCAUCGAGCCCAGGGCUGCUAAGGCUAGCUAGCACAAAGACCAGAGGACUCCCAGCUUCAGAUUGGAGCUGCAGAUCUGCAAAGGAAACGGCUAAACCAGCUUCCCAGCACAGGUUUGAAGCUCGGGGGCCUGGUGAAUGCUUGCUGCUCAUUGAGCACCACUGGCAGCCACCAAGAGAAGCAAACGUCUGCUUAACAAGAACGGGUUGACCAUAAGCUGAGAAGCGUUUGGCCAGCCUGCCUAUGAGAUGUAUCUGAUGUCGCUGCCUCUGGCACCUCUUCACCGGGUGACAUCCACAGGACCUCUGCACCAUCUUCACCCACCAGCAUCUGUAACCACCUACAGACUCAGGAACUACACAAGACCUCCACCACCAGUAACUGCAUGGAGACAGCCCCUCUGGAGCUGCAAAUGUUAAGCCAUCCGUUGACCUUCAACCUGUGGCUCUGGCAUCUUGCUAGUUUCCGUCGUACUCGCCAUGCUCCAGGAAACGGCCAUUUUUUAUGUCACACUCCAUUUCGCUGCGGGUCAUGAAGGAGUACAUCUGGCC